GUGUAUAUAAACGCAUUAUAUCUUUGGAUUGUGGUCGGCAGCGAACCAGAAAGGAACUAAAACGACUGAUCGAGAGGGAGGAGGAUGCUGAGGAGGAAGCCGAGCAGGAUCGAAGUGAAAGCGGAGGACAAAGCAGAGAUCGAAGAAGCCGUCCGCCAGCGAUCCUCCAAUCCCCGUCCCAACCCUAACCCUAACCCUAAUCCCCUCCACAAGUACCUCGACCCCUCCCCCCUCGACGCCGCCGCCAAGGCCCAGCGCAUCGGCCUCAACCAGCCUUAGCCCCGAUGGAGGUUGAGGUCAAACUCCGCCUCCCCGACGCGGGCGCCCACCAGCGACUCUCCGACGCCCUCGUUCCCCACCACCUCCGCACCCACCUCCAGGAGAACCUCUUCUUCGACGGCGCCGCCGGCGAGCUCUCCUCCCGCUUCGCCGUCCUCCGUAUCCGCUUCUACGACGCGGACUCCCGCUGCGUGAUCUCCCUCAAGGCCAAGGCCCGCCUGGCCGGCGGCGUCAGCCGCGUCGAGGAGGACGAGGAGGACAUCGACCCGGCCCUCGGCCGCGCCUGCGCCGCCGAGACGUGGCGGCUCGCCGACUUGGCCGGAUCCUCUCGGAUCAUGAGGAGGGUGGUCGAGGAGUUCGGGUCGGAGGGAAAGAUGGGAUCCUUCGUGUGCCUGGGGGGCUUCCGGAAUGUUAGGGCGGUCUACGGGUGGAAGGAGGGGUUGAUGCUCGAGCUUGAUGAGACGCAGUAUGAUUUCGGGACUAGUUACGAGCUAGAAUGUGAGACGAUCGACCCAGAGAGGACCAAGGAGUUGCUGGAGAGGUUCUUGAAGGAGAAUGGAGUACCGUACUCGUACUCUGAAGCAUCCAAGUUUGCAGUUUUCCGAGCAGGGAAGCUUCUACCCUGAGGAUACAAAUGGUUAAGGUGUCCAUUGGUCAGAAGACUGGAUAAAGAGCUGCAUGAUUAUAUCAUGACAUUGGACUUUCUUUUGCCAGGGUGUAGGCCUGAGGAUCAUUUCACAAGUUGCCACUACUACACAUAGUUGGAAGACGCAGAUAGCAGCACAUGGUGAAAGUGCUCCAUUUUAAGAAAAUUCACCGUCUGGUCGAUCUAGUUUCCCCGUCCUACAAUGCAAGAUGGUGGAAUAUGUCUGAUGGAUCAGCUUCUCCAUUUUAGAUGCAAGCAAGAUUAACUGAAUACUGCAUUUACUAUAUUGUUUGUUGCUUCUCGGAGUGUGUGAUUGUGUACAUGUUGGUAGCGUUUCGCCCCUUGAUAUCUAAUGAUCGGAUGCAGAUUAGUUGCAGUUUA